UCUAAGGUCUAAUUAAUAAUUACAGUCUGUAGUGAUUAUUAUGGAUGGUGCUAACUGCCCCAACAAAAAACUAAAAUGUGAGAUCUCACCUUUUUCUCUGUUUUACUUACAGGUUGGAUUUUGUUUCCUGGAAAUUCCAGAAUUUUGCCCUUAUUGCUGAAUUUGGUUGUUCAGAAGGAUGAAGCUGAAGCAGAGCUUCAAAGAUGUACAAUGGCAGUGUAUGUCUUCAAGGAAGAUGAGGAUCCUCUCCAGCCACCACAUCACGUUGGAAUUGUUAUCGAAGGGGUGCAGGUCCUUAAUGACUUGCCAUCAGUCCCACAUGCAUGUGCCUUGUUGUUUGGCCUCAUCUACAUUCUAAAUUUGAGCUACCCAAGUGAACUCAAACACACCUUUGAGGCUCUACAGAAAAUAUUCAUGGAGAUAGAACCCAAGAAAAUGGCACGCAGAGUGUUCAGUCUGAGUGUCAAGCUCUAAAUAUUGGAGUAAUCAAAGACAUUUGGAUACAGAAUGUGUUUUGUUGCGUUAUAUCUUGUAUUCAAAUACAUUCCAUGAAUAAUGGAAGGGGCCAUUGUUAAAUGUAAGUAAGAGAGGAACAGACUUUAAUUCAAAACGGUCUUUAAUUUAAGAUUUUCUGUUAACAGAGCUGUUUCUGUGGCAUAAAUAUUGAGGCACUGAUAUCAGUGUGAAUAAUGCAAAAUUCACAAUGGCAGCAAUUGUAAUGAUGUUUUACUUAAAGGGUUAGUUCACCAAAAAAUAAAAAUAAUGUCAUUCAUUUUUUACUCACCCUCAUGUUGUUUUACACCCAUAAGACCUUCAUCUUCAGAACACUAAUUAAGAUGUAUUUGAUAAAAUCCGAUGGCUCAGUGAGGCCUCCAUUGACAG